CAGCCCUGCUCCACACUGGUGGAGGAGACAUCCACUUAGAGGAGGAAAAUAAUCUGGAGGGAGCCUGCAAGAGCAAGACAAGACAAAACGCUCAUGUGGAGGAGGAUGAAGGUUUAAGCAAAGCAAGACUGCCAUCACUCUGUGAAGGGCAUCUUCCCCACAAGACAUUGAACUUUAAAAAAAAUCAUUCUACCAACAGAAAAAAAAUUCUAUUCCAUAUGCUUUGCCAAAGUUGCCCGAGAAGGCAGCGGUAGCUGCUGUGGGCUACGAAAGAGGGGGAUACUGCAGGUCCUGUCUGUGCGCACACGUGCAGAAGGACCAGAUGAGGGGGCCAACGACUUGGACAUAAAGUAAGUUCUAAUCAAACACUGGACAUAUGACUGACCGCUUUCAAUCCUCCAGCUCAGGUAUGAUUUACAGAUCCCAUCUGCUGCCCUGCCAGACAAAUGCUCCUCUGACAGGUGUCACCACUGCAUUGUGCUGCAUUUGUAUUACCUAAAGGGAGUGGAUGACUAACACCUAUAUUCAAAGAGGUAUUAUGCCCCAGCCAAGAGAGGCCACAGUGCAAGCACUUGGCUAGAUGAACAAGGAACGAGUAGAUGGAGAGCUCGGGGGCUACGGCCCUACACUGCUGACCUACAACUACAGCAAAGCUCUUGGCUACCUCCUUCUUCACAUAUCUGGCUUCGCCAGACAGCAUUGUUGGAGUUAACCUGAUCCAGCCCCUUCACAUAAGAUAAAGUCUGAAAAAAUCUCCAAGUUUAUCUUGCCCUAUAUUGAACUGACUGGUCCCAGGAUUAAGUGUCUUCCUGAGGAGAUCGCAGGGAGACGGAAGAAUGCCACACAGAACUGCUCUCCAUCUGUGCUCCUACUGCGUAGUCUCAAUCUAAUGGGCAUAAAUAUAUAUAUGUCAAUGGCAUCUUCCCAUGGUUUAUGUUUCUUUGGAAACCAAGUCCAGGAUUUCCUACAUCCCUGUCGUUAGACUGAUACCAGCUCUGGUUAGAAAGAAAACAGAAGGAGAAAAUAAAACAACAUGAGGUCAGAGCCAGGCAACCUGCUCCUACCUGUAGAUUAGGUUCAUGUAAGUUGACUCUUCAUGCUCAUCUAUUGAGGUGAACUUAUCCUAAUCCAUUAGUUAGGCAGAGGCUUGCCCUUGGGUGAGGUUUCCAGGAAAACAGGGGUUCAAGCUGGUAGUCUUGUGAGACCAAGAAGAACAUGUUUUUUGAGGGCAGCUGGCCUGGGUGCCAGGGUGGAGAUUCUCUGCUGACAUCACACACCUGCUGAAUUCCUACCGCAAGAAUCUAAACAAAUUAAAAAAAACAACAAAUCAUCCACACCUGUGGCUGCCAACUGACUGAAGUUUCUGUGUGAUGCCAGGUACACCUGGAUAGCCGAGGAGGUCAGCAGCAGUGUCAGAGGUAAAUACCACUGCCAGCUAGUAGGAGGCACAAAGGUGCCCACCUCCCUCCCAUGGAUCUGUGACAGGAGCCAACUGGCCAACAGUCACAGUAAAUAUGUCAUAGAAAAUAUGCAUAUACCUCUUAUACAUUAGAAAAGCUCUAGGUAACAGUGCGGCAGGAAGAAAAGAUUUCAGAGCAGAGGUAUCUGUAAUCAUCAGUCUCUCCCCACCGUGCUCCCAGGGAAGAAGGAGUUUCUGAGUCAACAGCUGGAUCCUUGCUUAUUAGCCACAUCCAGAUGCCAGGCAACCCAGACUCGGUAGUACCACGAGGGAAUAAGGCAGCAGAGUGCUUGGGAGGGCAGAGUCUCUGAGAGCGACACAUGCUGGGUAUGUGUAAGGUAUUAAAGGAGUAAGAGAAUGAAUAACAGAGGUACAUAGGGGCAAAGAAUUUAAGUUUGGCAGGACAUUUUAAGGGAAAUCCCUCUUUGAUGCUUUAAAAAAGGAUUUAUUUUGUAUUUUUUUGAAGGGGUAAAGAGGUUACUUGACUUGUUUUAAAAAAAUGUUUUUAUGAUGACUGCCAAGGUUGAGCUCUGUAAUAGGCUAAAUAGAGAAAGCAUCAGGAACCAUCCAAAUGCUUAGAUCCAAAACCCAAAAUUUAGAUUCCUAAGGGAUCAAUUAAAAAACUUAAGGCAGCAAAUGUAUUUUCCUGUGCGUGUGCCUGUGCGUUGUAUGUAUGUGAGGUUGUGUGGUGCGGGUUGCGAAGACACUGUUUCAGUGUCUGAUGACAUUCUACAACUGACUUCCUAGGAUUAGAUUAAGUAGUACAAACAAAUUAUUUUGUGUGUCUUGGGUAGUAUUUGACUGACAGAACAAAAGUCUGAUCUGAAAGCUGAUGGGAUAAAUGCUUAGUAAUUGAGAGGGUUUGGAUCUGGAGCAGGUAACAAACAAGACCAACAAUCACAGAAUAAACUUUCAGUUGAUCUUGAACCUGCUAGUCCUGUUCCGAGCCAUAGAGCCCCUCUGAGAAGACAUCUCCAGAUAUGCUCCUUUGGUCAUAAAAGUUCAUAUGGACUCAGCUCUGGGGUGUGCUUCUAAAGGAGGCAAGCUUUUUCCAUGCAAAGUCAUUUACCUUCUAUCAGUACAAGCAAAAGUCCCUUUAUAACAGGAGCACUCUCAAAUAUCUUGUGCAGUAGUAAAAUCUUGUUAUAUUAAAUAUCAACUUGAAAAGAAUGAUAAACUGACAAGUAGCUAUGGCAUCUACUUGUUACACGCGCACACACACACACACACACACACACACACACACAAAGUCUCUAUAUCUUACUCUUUGUCAUAAUGAUAGCUGACCACUUCUUGCUCUUGUGAUGGUUUUUAUUUCUUUUGACUUGAGAAUCCUAAUUAUCAAGGAGAAAAUUUUCAUUAACAGCAUGCUAUACAUACCUGUCUUCAGCUUCAGCUACUUCACAAAAGGCCAAAAGAUGUACCACAGCCAAAAUGAGGAUAGCAUUUAUU